CAUGUGCACACCCACCAUCCUCAUCUCUCCACCUGUGCACCUCUUGUAGACUUGGGGGAUAGACUUUCCGAGGCAACUCGGGUCUGGAGGAAGGCUGCUCAAGCUUUCUUUGAAUUUCCCGGUCAACGUUUUUUAUAUAUACCCCAUAGCAUGUAACAGAAUGUAUCAUUUGGGCCCUUGUGCCUAUAAACCUUAUACAACUUUCAGCAACGGAUCUCUUGGCUCUCGCAUCGAUGAAGAACGCAGCGAAAUGCGAUAAGUAAUGUGAAUUGCAGAAUUCAGUGAAUCAUCGAAUCUUUGAACGCACCUUGCGCUCCUUGGUAUUCCGAGGAGCAUGCCUGUUUGAGUGUCAUUAAAUUCUCAACCUUAUCAGUUUAUUUCUGAUAGUGGCUUGGAUGUGGGGGUUUCUCUUGCUGGCUCAGGUCAGCUCCCCUUAAAUGCAUUAGCUGGUGCCCCGUGUGGACUGUCUAUUGGUGUGAUAAUUAUCUACGCCAUGCAUGGAUGGUCUGCUUAGCACUGCUUCUAACCGUCUCAGACAAUACAUGACAAUUUGACCUCAAAUCAGGUAGGACUACCCGCUGAACUUAAGCAUAUCAAUAAGCGGAGGAAAAGAAACUAACAAGGAUUCCCCUAGUAACUGCGAGUGAAGCGGGAAAACCUCAAAUUUAAAA
rnacentral:rRNA from 1 species